rnacentral:rRNA from 1 species
GAUGAACGCUGGCGGCGUGCCUAAUACAUGCAAGUCGAGCGAACAGAUGAGGAGCUUGCUCCUCUGACGUUAGCGGCGGACGGGUGAGUAACACGUGGAUAACCUACCUAUAAGACUGGGAUAACUUCGGGAAACCGGAGCUAAUACCGGAUAAUAUAUUGAACCGCGUGGUUCAAUAGUGAAAGACGGUUUUGCUGUCACUUAUAGAUGGAUCCGCGCCGCAUUAGCUAGUUGGUAAGGUAACGGCUUACCAAGGCAACGAUGCGUAGCCGACCUGAGAGGGUGAUCGGCCACACUGGAACUGAGACACGGUCCAGACUCCUACGGGAGGCAGCAGUAGGGAAUCUUCCGCAAUGGGCGAAAGCUUGACGGAGCAACGCCGCGUGAGUGAUGAAGGUCUUCGGAUCGUAAAACUCUGUUAUUAGGGAAGAACAAAUGUGUAAGUAACUAUGCACGUCUUGACGGUACCUAAUCAGAAAGCCACGGCUAACUACGUG